AACGAUGAAAGGUCCACAUCCAAAGUUGGCCCUGCAUGAUGGAUGAUCCACAUUGAGGUGUGGCCCACAUGGAAGGUCCAUGUCAAAGGUGGGCUCCACACGAGGGGCGGUGGAUAUUGAAGGUAGCUGGACAAUAACAUUGAAGGUGCGCUCCUCAUGGUGGAUGACCCACAUUGAGGUGGGGCCUGCAUGAUGGAUGGUCCGUGUCAAAGGUGGACUCCACACGAUGUGCAAGGUUAGCCUUAUUUGGGCAUUAUUUUGAUGUUGGGUCCCACAUGAUGGGCAAGGUUGGCCAUAAAUGGACGUUAUUUUGAUGGUGGGCCCCACAUGAUGGAUAAUCAAUAUCAGGGUGGGCCUCACAUAAUGGAAAGUCUACAUCAAAGGUCAGCCCAUAACGGUGGACGGCCCCAUGUAUUGCCCUCGUAAUGGACGGUGGGCUCCACAUGAUGGGUGGUGUACAUUGAAGGUGGGCUUAGGACAAUUUAUUUUGGAGGUGGGCGCCUCGAUAGACAAUUCACAUGAUGGAUAACUAACAUCAAGGUGGGCUCAUAAUGGCGGACGGCCCCAUGUAUUGCCCUCAUAAUGGACGGCCCACAUUGAAGGUGUGGUCUGCACAAUGGAUUGUCUCUAUCAAGGGUGGGCUCCACAUGAUGGGUGGUGUACAUUGAAGGUGGACUUAGGACAAUUUAUUUUGGAGGUGGGCUCCACGAUAGACAAUUCACAUGAUGGAUGACCAACAUCAAGGUCCAUCCCAGAAUGUGCAGUCCACAUCAAAGGUGCUACGAUGAGUGGCCUACAUUCAAGGUGGGCCUUAUAUGAUGGAUGUCCUACAUUGAAGAUGGGGUGUAUAUGAUGGAUGGUCCACAUCAAGGGUGGACUCUGAUGGAUAUUAAAGGUGAGCCCUACAUGAUCAAUAAUAAUAUUGAUGGUGGGCCUACAUGAUAGCUGGCCCAUAUCAAGGUGGCCCCACAUGAGAACAGUUCAUGUUGAAGGUUGGCCCCAAAUGACCCACAACCAAAGGCAAGGCAGGCUGAGCUUGAUGAAAAGCCACUUUGAAAUUGGGUCCUGCAUGAUGCACAAUCCACUUUAAAGGUGGGCCUGCAUGAUGGUUGGCCACAUCUAAGGUAGUCCCUGCAUGUUGGAUAGCCUACAUCGAAGAUGGGUGGAUGUCGACAUUGAAGGUAGGUCCCGCACAAGGAAAGCUCACAUUGAAGGCAAUUCCAAGCUAGGCGCAACAUGAUGCAUGAUCCAUGUGGAAGGUUGUGUCCAAGAUAAGAUACUUGAGGCAUAAGUAGCUUAGUUAAAUUAACAUAUGAUCCAAGUGCUUUUUGAAAAUUGCUUUUCCACCUAUUGAUCUCAUUGUUUUUUCCCUCUUAAUAUAUUUAAAAUAUCCCCCGUCUGAACUCUCUCCUUCAUUUUUUUUGCGAGUUUGAAGAUCUCUUUCUCACAUUCUUUUGUCAUCAAUGUAUACAAAUCAUUAUGAACUUAAAGUUUAGCUCCACUUUUUUGUUAGCAUUUUAUUUUGCAUUUCUAAGCUAUUCUAAAAUUCAUCGUUUUUAGUUCUUAGUCAAGCUUUAAAACAUGAACAUUUUUCGUUAAUAACUUUUAUCUAUGUUGUCAUCUGAUUACAAAUAACAUAGGCCGUGAACAGAAUUAUAGCAUUCAUUUCCUACGAGCUUUUAAGAAUUGGGUCAGAAUUCUGACCCAAUUCUUAUCCAUUAAAUAAUUGGGUCAGGAUUUUGAACCGUGGAUUCAACCCAUUAAAGUUUCCCGGACCAAUUGUUUAGGUCUGGGUCCUCUUGGCCCCAAACCCAAACCCCCAUAUCACAUGAGUUGAUUUUGCUUGGGUCUGGAUUAGGUGUAGAAAAUGAAAUUGAGCUCUCAACAUAAUUAAGUAAUGUCCAUGCCAACCAAUUAGUGGUAGCUAUCAAUUUGGAUGGUAAAAAAUAAAAUAGCCAGCUGUCCCAAAUUCAAUUGGUUAUUUCAAGUAGUAGCGGUAGUUCCACUGGUUUGUCACUAGUAGAGAGGAUUGUGUAACCAUAUUUUUGGAAAAGGUGGUCACUAUUUUGUAGUGUAAGGCCGAAAAGAAAGAUAAAUUCAAGUUAAAAGACUAUGAGUCUAGGUCGGGUCUAUGUCUAGGGUGGGUUCAUUUUGAGAGGACCCAGAGCUAAACCCCUGGAUAAUUCAGGUCCCAGAGCUGGGUUAGGUUGGGUUUUGAGAGGACCCAGAGAUAAACCCCUCUAGGUUGGGUUGAUUUUGAAAGAACCCAGAGCUAAACCCCUCGUAAUUCAGGUCAUCCUUUUGGACCCAGAUCCCGCCCCAUAGGUCUAAAUUUUGGAUCCUGACCCACUAGUUUUUGGGUCGGGUCCAGUGACUCAUUGGGUUGACGCGACCCAUCUGCACCCCUAUUCAAAGCCCUGACCUUGAUUACGCACCCUAAUAUGUUGAGUUCACUCUUUUUAUUGUGUGAAGUGUGUAUUCGGGUUGGUUGUACUUUGUUGGCAGUUUGCAUCUGUUUCCGGAAGUCGACUUACCAAGCGAUCAUCUAGAGCAUUGUUGAUCUGGGACCUCUAUUCUCCGUGGACAUUCAUCAUGCAUCCCACUCCCACAUUUGAUUUCCUCUCUAAUAACUUCGAUUGGAUGGUUGUAGUCACUAAUUAAGAAAAUGGAUGGCCUAUAUUGAUCAUGACAGUUUUCUGGUCCCUGGACUGUCCAUCUUAUGGGGUUGAGCUUUGAUUGUUCAUAUCCUUCCCAGUUCAGUACGUUGAUUGCUUGAUCCUAACUAGGCAAUUAAUGAUUGGAAAAAUGGAUGGUUCAUAUUGAUUAUGCCAGAAAAAAAAGUUGAAAAAGUGGUUUGGGCUGUCCAUCAUCUGACCUCUGAUGGGUUGAUCCAUAUGAUUCCAGAAAUUGCCAAGAAAAUGGACUGUCAAUAAUUAUCAUAGUGGAGGUCUUACCAUUGAUUUGAACCCUCGAUUGCCCAUCCUGAAAAUCAAUCUGAGAAGGUGCCUUAACUGGAAUACUGCACGCAGUACAUGCCUUAAACUAGACCAUCUGAACUGCUGUAAUUGCACCAUCCUAUCCUAUCCUCGGAUUAAUGGACAUUUCUUUGUUGAAUAGAGGACUACUGAGUGUAAAUGUGAGCUUACGGUGUGAACGGUUCAAUUUGAGUUCUACACAAUUUCCUAGUUUACAA